rnacentral:lncRNA from 1 species
AUAGAAAAGGGAUUCUAAGGUCUCUGCCCACCCUCCUUAUUUUAUAGAUGUGGAAACUAAGACCCAAAGACAGAGGCAUUGUGACAAGGUCACAGAACUGAGUGAAGCUUCGGCUGAGACCAGAACCCAGGGUUCUUGACUUCUCCGUGAGGGUUCCCUUCACCAAACAGAGCUGCCACAGGAUGAAAGCUAUCACAUGUGGGGCUGUUGGAGUGGAGGAGAUUUUAGAAGAAGAAAAAAGAAAGAUGAAGAAGGAGCAGACACUUCUGUUUGCCAUAUACCUGCUUCUCAAGAACUACAUGAAGAAAACCUGGCUCACACAGAAAUGUACGAAGAGAGAGACAGGGGUGGCCUAUAUUAGGAACAGCGCUGGCCAGGCCACACAGCUCGGUCUCAUACUGCCCUCUGCAGUCUGACUGCAGUCUUCACAACCUACCCCGAGUGUCACAACGUGGGACAUCCUGCACACACGUCCAGUCCCUCGGGUAGAAUCACUGCCCACCUUUGGCCUGGAGACAAAAAGACCAAAUUAGGAAGACAAUAGUUUACCCAGAUUGGUAUGAUUUGCUCACCCAACGUCUCCCACCCCCUCUCCAUUCUACAAUACAGCAUGCGACCCCUGAAGAGGAGAAGGCAGAUGCUAUCUAGGUCAAAAACAUAUUGUAUGAAGAGAGAAAUAAUCCAAGGGAAAGAAAGAUGGAGUUCUGCGGACUCAAUCUAUUAUUCAAGAAGAAAAAUCCUUAACAGAUAUAUAUGCUGAAAGGAGACGGAGAACCUGUCCUAAAACGC